GAAAUGCGAUAAGUAAUGUGAAUUGCAGAAUUCAGUGAAUCAUCGAAUCUUUGAACGCACAUUGCGCCCGUCAGCAUUCUGGCGGGCAUGCCUGUUCGAGCGUCAUUUCAACCCUCAGGACCCCCCUUUCGCGGGGAGGGACCUGGCGUUGGGGAUCGGCCCGCCCCCCGUGGCGGCGCCGUCCCCGAAAUCUAGUGGCGGUCUCGCUGCAGCCUCCCCUGCGUAGUAGUUAAAACCUCGCAUCGGAGCGCGGCGCGGCCACGCCGUAAAACCCCCGACUUUCUGAACGUUGACCUCGGAUCAGGUAGGAAUACCCGCUGAACUUAAGC
rnacentral:misc_RNA from 1 species